UUAGAACCCAAUAGGUACAAAAGUUUACCUUUUAAAAAGGUACAACCCCAGUGACAGCUUUUGUACCUUUAUUUCUGAGAGUGUAUUCAUCUUGACAUAUUAAAUGUCUGCAUUGAAAAGGACUCAAAUGGACGUGUCUUUGGGGUAAGAGAGCUUUGUGCUGUAUGUCACAGAGUUUUAGGAUGUCAAUGUCAUAAAAUGACAUAAUAAUAAUAAAAAUGGUAAAUUAUUAUAACAAAAUUAUAGAAUUUAAAUAUUAUAAAAUAUUAUAUGUAAUACAUUAUAUAUAAAUUACAGAAACAAUAAAAUAUUAUUUUGUUAUAAAAUAUAAAAUUAUUCAAUAUUCUACAUUCAGGAAGAAUAUAAAAAGAAACCCUGAUCAGGUAUAUAUAUUUUUUCUUUAUAUUUGAUUUAUAUAAAGAUUGUAAGUUCACAUAAGCCUUAAGUUCAUGAGCAGACGUUCACAGUCCCAUAUGCGGUUUUAAUACUGAUUUAAAAAUAGCACCCUAUUUCAUUAGGCUUCUUGUAAAUCUGUCCCACUUGAAGUGUGUUCAAACCCUGGAGACCAGGAGAAACAGGAUACUGGAGCCGAUCCCUCUCUCCUCAUGGAAGCAAGCAUUCUUCCUCUUUUUUAUUUCUAUAUUAUGCCUGAUUUGCUGUCGUAAGCUAUGACUCACCAUCAAGCAUAUGAAAUUUGAGUCCACUGCCAAUAUAUCGCUGUAAAAUGCCUUUUUUUUUAGUUUAGACGUGAGGUCAGAUUGACAGGACGUUAACGCAUCUGGACCAUUCCAGACUGUUUGGGGAUGGUUUUGCCACAAAACAGUGUCUCUGAGUCCAACCUCGUCUGUGCCCACCGCCAAAACUUCGACCAGCUCAUGACUCCGCACCCAUCCAUCCUUCAGCCAAAGCCCAACAAUUGGCCUCCCCAAGACAUCACUCCGAAUGACUACUAGACCUAACAACAACAACCUAGGAACCCCCCUUUCAGCGGCCCUAUAAGCAAACUCCAAAUGGACGAGAGCUUGCUUGGUUUGCCUUACAAUCUCUUGCUUCACAUGCUUUUCAAAAGAUUUAAUUUCAAGAGAAGUGAGGGCUACUGGCCUGAGAUCAUUUAAUUCCUUGGGACUAUUACUUUUAGGGACGGGGAUAAUGACAGCCUGCUUCCACAGGUUAGGUACAUAUUGAAGAUAUAAAGACAUAUCAAAAAUAUCACUAAAACAGGACUUAAUUGGCUUGCACAGCAUUUCAAUAGAUUGACACAAAUAUUGUCUGGACCAGGACUCUUGUUUAAAUUUAGAGAAAGAAAAUACUUUUCAACUGCUCUCUACUCUUGAAUGAGAUGAUGAUUAUAUUUGAGUUUGCAUCUCAAUUCCUCAAUAUUCACUUUAAAAUCAAACUGAUUAAUUCUUGCAUAAAAAUUAUUUAGAGCAUUGGCAAGUUCACUAUUUGACCUGGAACCAUUCAUGGCAAUAUCAUUUCUAUGAGUACAUUGCUGGAUACCUGCUAUAGUUUUCAUCAUACCAAGCUGAAGCAAUAUUCUUCUUAGCAAGUUUACUUUCUACUUUUGUUCUAUACCUUUGUUUAGCUUUUAGAAUUUCCAGUUUAACCUCCUUUUUUGCUGCUAAAUCCCUCCUUGACUGUAAGACAACGUUUUCU
ensembl:lncRNA